rnacentral:rRNA from 1 species
CCUAUGGGUGGCAGCAGUGAGGGAUAUUGGUCAAUGGGGGAAACCCUGAACCAGCAACGCCGCGUGAGGGAAGACGGUUUUCGGAUUGUAAACCUUUGUACUCUGGGAAGAUAUUGACGGUAGCAGAGGAGGAAGCUCCGGCUAACUACGUGCCAGCAGCCGCGGGAAUACGGAGGGAGCAAGCGUUGUCCGGAAUUAUUGGGUGUAAAGGGUGCGUAGGCGGGCUUGCAAGUCAGAUGUGAAAUCCAUGGGCUUAACUCGUGUACUGCAUUUGAUACUGUCGGGCUUGAGUGAGGUAGAGGCAGGCGGAAUUCCCGGUGUAGCGGUGAAAUGCGUAGAGAUCGGGAGGAACACCAGUGGCGAAGGCGGCCUACUGGGCUUUAACUGACGCUGAAGCACGAAAGCGUGGGUAGCAAACAGGAUUAGAUACCCGGGUAGUC